GGAAUUAUUGGGAGCACCCGGCUCGCACGUGUUUUCUUAUUUAUGAUGUGAAAGCCCCCGCCCUCAACCGGGGAGGGUCAUUGGAAACUGGGGAUCUUGAGUGCAGAAGAGCAGAGAGCAAUUCCACGUGUAUCCGCCAAAUGCACAGAGUUGUGGAGCACACUACUGACAAAGGCGACUCUCUGGUCUGUUACUGACGCUGACGACCGAAACCGUGGAGAGCGACAGGAUUANAUACGCUGGUAGUCCACGCCGUAAACGAUGAGUGCUAAGUGUUAAGGGGCUUCCCGCCCCUUAUGC
rnacentral:rRNA from 1 species